AUCCAAGUGAUGAGCCCCAAACAGGGCGAAACGCACAUCCUGGAU
rnacentral:hammerhead_ribozyme from 1 species